rnacentral:rRNA from 1 species
CCUAGUGGUGAUAGUGGAGGGGAAACACCCGUUCCCAUCCCGAACACGGAAGUUAAGCCCUCCAGCGCCGAUGGUAGUUGGGGCCAGCGCCCCUGCAAGAGUAGGUCGCUGCUAGGC